rnacentral:rRNA from 1 species
UACGUAGGGGGCAAGCGUUGUCCGGAUUUAUUGGGCGUAAAGAGCGUGUAGGCGGUUAGGUAGGUCCGUUGUGAAAACUCGAGGCUCAACCUCGAGACGCCGAUGGAAACCAUCUGACUAGAGUCCGGAAGAGGAGAGUGGAAUUCCUGGUGUAGCGGUGAAAUGCGCAGAUAUCAGGAAGAACACCUAUGGCGAAGGCAGCUCUCUGGGACGGUACUGACGCUGAGACGCGAAAGCGUGGGGAGCGAACAGG